rnacentral:sRNA from 1 species
AAGAACUCGACUCGGUUUCCACACGAUCGUGCCUUGAGAAAUUCCAUAAAUCAUUUUCAAUUCCUCCUGACGAGAAGCUUGUUAAUUGUAAGCCAAUAAGCCUAGAAAACCGAAGAUCAUCUCAAAAAAUUUAAUUUUCAGACUACAAAUGUUGCCUGUGGAAGGGAAAAGUUCCGGCUCAAGGAGAUUUGUUCCUUUCUGUCAAUUUUCUGUGUUUUCACGCUUUUAUGAUGGGAAAUGAAACGAAAAUUAAGCUGAAAUGGACGGAUAUUGUGGUUUGUUUUAGAAAAAAAUCGCACUGGAAAAGUUUAAAAACAAUUAAUUUUCAAAAAAAAAAACGGAUUUUUCUUAUAAAAUCGACAAAUUCAUCAAUUUUCAAAAUAAUUGGAUUUUUUUUUUGAAAUUUUUCACAGAAAAAUUAUUAAUUAAGGUUAAUUUAUAGUUUUUAAAACCAAUUUUGAGGGUUUAACAAAAAAAAUUCUGAGACAUUGACAAAUUAACUUUCGAACUACGAGUUUUGCGGAUUUUCGAUUUUUUUUUUGGAAGAAAAAUCGAAUUUUCAAUAAUUUUUGGUUGUUUCUCUAUAUUUUUUUUUGAUAUUUUUCAAAAAUAAAUCGAAAAAUUCCGAUGAGAACCACCAAAAAUUAAUUUAAACAAAACAUUUUUUUUGUUGCAAAAUUGAAAAAAAUAAUCACAAAAAUUUAGAAAAAUUCUGUAAUUUUUAGACCGAAACCCCCGCAGAAUCUACUCUAUUUUUAAGAAAUUUUUACAAAAAAUCAUAAAAUUUAGCUGAAAUGGACUGAUAUUGUGGUGUGUUGUAGAAAAAUCGCCCUGGAAAGGUAAAAAAAAUUAAUUUUCAAAAAAAAACUAUUUUUUCUUAUCAAAAUCGACAAAUGUUCGUAUUUUUUCGAUGCUUCAAUUUUUUUUUGGAAAAAAUUGCAUUUUCGGUCGUUUCUCUAUUUUUUUUCAAAAAAAAAAACCAUUUUUCACAUUCGACACUAUUUUUUUAAUUGUUAAAAAAAUAAUCGAAAAUUUCGGAUCAGAACCACCAAAAAAUUAAAUUAAACAAAACAUUUUAUUGUUGCAAAAUUGGAAAAAAUAAUCACAAAAAUUUAGAAAAAUGCUGUAAUUUUUAGACCGAAUCCCCCGCAGAAUCUACUCUAUUUUUAAGAAAUUUUUACAAAAAAUCAUAAAAUGCAUAAAUUUCAGAGAUUGGAGCGAGUUUCGUCGAUUCUCUUCCCACAAAGCAUUCUCGUCGUAACGAAAGAAGACAAAAAAUUCAGUUUUUCAAUGUUCCUGAAUUUUGAGGAAACAUUUCAACUCGCAUCACAACUUGCAAAUAUCGCAAUGAAACAGUUCGUGAUUUUUGAAAAAAAAAAUUAUAUAAAAAUCAAAAAAAUUCCAGGCUAAUAGAAGAAGAAGGAUUCUGCGAGGACAGUGCUCUCCGCCGAAAAAUGCUCAUGGAAAGUGAGCACAGAAGGACUGUAAAGACGAAAGCAUCGUUUUUGAAACGAGAUCUUGAUGCCAGACAUCGAAGUGACGCUUUUAGG